CAGCCGCCGCGGGAAUACGUAGGGUGCAAGCGUUAAUCGGAAUUACUGGGCGUAAAGCGUGCGCAGGCGGUUGUGUAAGACAGGUGUGAAAUCCCCGGGCUUAACCUGGGAAUUGCAUUUGUGACUGCACGACUAGAGUGUGUCAGAGGGGGGUGGAAUUCCACGUGUAGCAGUGAAAUGCGUAGAUAUGUGGAGGAACACCAAUGGCGAAGGCAGCCCCCUGGGAUAACACUGACGCUCAUGCACGAAAGCGUGGGGAGCAAACAGGAUUAGAUACCCCGGUAGUCCCUGUCUCUUAUAA
rnacentral:rRNA from 1 species